CCUACGGGAGGCAGCAGUAAGGAAUAUUGGACAAUGCCCGCAAGGGUGAUCCAGCCAUGCCGCGUGCAGGAAGACGGCCCUAUGGGUUGUAAACUGCUUUUACACCGGAGAAAACCCCGCUACGUGUAGCGGGCUGAUGGUAUGGUGAGAAUAAGCAUCGGCUAACUUCGUGCCAGCAGCCGCGGUAAGACGAAGGAUGCAAGCGUUAUCCGGAUUCAUUGGGUUUAAAGGGAGCGUAGGCGGCCUGAUAAGUCAGCGGUGAAAUCUCCUCGCUUAACGAGGAAAUUGCCAUUGAUACUGUUGGGCUUGAGUACAGUUGCUGUGGGCGGAAUAUGACAUGUAGUGGUGAAAUACAUAGAGAUGUCAUAGAACACCGAUUGCGAAGGCAGCUCACAAAACUGUAACUGACGCUGAGGCUCGAAAGUGCGGGGAUCAAACAGGAUUAGAUACCCUGGUAGUCCGCACCGUAAACGAUGAUUACUCGCUGCUGGGAGGUAACUUUCAGUGGCUUAGCGAAAGCGAUAAGUAAUCCACCUGGGGAGUACGCCGGCAACGGUGAAACUCAAAGGAAUUGACGGGGGCCCGCACAAGCGGAGGAGCAUGUGGUUUAAUUCGAUGAUACGCGAGGAACCUUACCAGGGCUUGAAAGUUAGGGAAUAACUCUGAAAGGAGUUAGUCAGCAAUGACCCGAAACUAGGUGCUGCAUGGCUGUCGUCAGCUCGUGCCGUGAGGUGUUGGGUUAAGUCCCGCAACGAGCGCAACCCCUACCAUUAGUUGCCAGCGGUUCGGCCGGGGACUCUAGUGGAACUGCCCGCGCAAGCGGUGAGGAAGGUGGGGGAUGACGUCAAGUCAUCACGGCCCUUACGUCCUGGGCUACACACGUGCUACAAUGGCUAUUACAGAGGGCAGCUACAUGGCACCAUGAUGCAAAUCUUCAAAAAUAGUCUCCAGUUCGGAUUGGGGUCUG
rnacentral:rRNA from 1 species